rnacentral:rRNA from 1 species
AUGUACCAUGCGCUCACGCAUCCUGGGGUAUUAGUGAGCAAUAACAAGAAAAUUUGGAAGUCCAAGAUUUCACUAAAAGUAAAAAUCUUCAUGUGGUAUCUUCGUAUGGAAGUUGUGUUAACCAAAUACAACGUCGCACGGUGCAACUGGUCAGGGAGUAAGAAGUGUUAUUUUUGUACUCAUGACGAGACAAUCAAAUACCUCUUUUUCCAAUGUAAAUUUGCACGUUCUAUGUGCUCAGUUAUCCAAAUAGCGUCAAAUUUAUAUCUGCCCACAAGUGUUGCCAAUAUAUUUGGUCACUGGUUGGACGGUAUACCAAAUAAGUUCAAAGCACAUAUAAGGGUGGGAGUGUAUGCCUUAAUUUGGUCGCUCUGCCUAUGUAGAAACGAUUUAUUUUUUAAUAAAAAAAUGCUUCUCCUCUGCAAGUUAUUUUCUGUUGUACGCACUCGCUUCAUACAUGAUCUAUGCUACAAUGACCGGAGCAUCAACCGAUGUUCAAGGUGGUGCAUAUGCGGUUGGAGCAGGUGGCUAUGGAGAUUUUUUUUUCCAACAUGGAUGGCAGUAUAA